AACGAACGCUGGCGGCAGGCUUAACACAUGCAAGUCGAGCGCCCCGCAAGGGGAGCGGCAGACGGGUGAGUAACGCGUGGGAAUCUACCCAGUUCUACGGAAUAACACAGGGAAACUUGUGCUAAUACCGUAUACGCCCUACGGGGGAAAGAUUUAUCGGACUUGGAUGAGCCCGCGUUGGAUUAGCUAGUUGGUGGGGUAAUGGCCUACCAAGGCGACGAUCCAUAGCUGGUCUGAGAGGAUGAUCAGCCACACUGGGACUGAGACACGGCCCAGACUCCUACGGGAGGCAGCAGUGGGGAAUAUUGGACAAUGGGCGAAAGCCUGAUCCAGCCAUGCCGCGUGAGUGAUGAAGGCCCUAGGGUUGUAAAGCUCUUUCAGUGGGGAAGAUAAUGACGGUACCCACAGAAGAAGCCCCGGCUAACUUCGUGCCAGCCGCCGCCGUAAAAC
rnacentral:rRNA from 1 species